AAAAAACAAGACUAGUAUCAAAGUCAAAAUAUUCACAUAAAACUUAACCUAACAAUGCAAAUUAGACAAGAACCAUGAUAGGCAUAAUAGUCUAAAAGGAGACCUACCCAGAGUUUCAAAAAUGGUAUAAGACAAAUAAGAACUCCAAAGAUGAGUAUUCUAUCAACCAUUCAGAGUUUUCGGAUAUGAACAAACAAAUGUCAGGAAACAAGGAUGAUCAUGAGAUCAGACCACUCAAAAGAUCAGUAAUACUAAAGUAACCCA
rnacentral:lncRNA from 1 species